UGAGGAAUAUUGGUCAAUGGACGCAAGUCUUAACCAGCCAAGUAGCGUGCAGGAUGACGGCCCUAUGGGUUGUAAACUGCUUUUAUAUGGGGAUAAAGUGGGGAACGUGUUCCCUUUUGCAGGUACCAUAUGAAUAAGGACCGGCUAAUUCCGUGCCAGCAGCCGCGGUAAUACGGAAGGUUCGGGCGUUAUCCGGAUUUAUUGGGUUUAAAGGGAGCGUAGGCCGUUUGGUAAGCGUGUUGUGAAAUGUAGGAGCUCAACUUCUAGAUUGCAGCGCGAACUGUCAGACUUGAGUGCGCACAACGUAGGCGGAAUUCAUGGUGUAGCGGUGAAAUGCUUAGAUAUCAUGACGAACUCCGAUUGCGAAGGCAGCUUACGGGGGCGCAACUGACGCUAAAGCUCGAAGGUGCGGGUAUCGAACAGG
rnacentral:rRNA from 1 species